AGCUAAUGAGCUUGAUAAAGCAUAUAUUUUGAAAAUAUAAGAUAGGAAAAUAUCCUAUUAGCUU
rnacentral:tRNA from 1 species